rnacentral:rRNA from 1 species
GAUGAACGCUGGCGGCGUGCCUAAUACAUGCAAGUCGAACGCUGAAGGAGGAGCUUGCUCUUCUGGAUGAGUUGCGAACGGGUGAGUAACGCGUAGGUAACCUGCCUGGUAGCGGGGGAUAACUAUUGGAAACGAUAGCUAAUACCGCAUGACAACAGUUAUUGCAUGAUAACUGUUUAAAAGGGGCAACUGCUCCACUACCAGAUGGACCUGCGUUGUAUUAGCUAGUUGGUGAGGUAACGGCUCACCAAGGCGACGAUACAUAGCCGACCUGAGAGGGUGAUCGGCCAAAAUGGGAAUGAGACACGGCCCAGACUCCUACGGGAGGCAGCAGUAGGGAAGCUUCGGAAAUGGACGGAAGGCUGACCGAGCAACGCCGCGUGAGUGAAGAAGGUUUUCGGAUCGUAAAGCUCUGUUGUAAGAGAAGAACGAGUGUGAGAGUGGAAAGUUCACACUGUGACGGUAGCUUACCAGAAAGGGACGGCUAACUACGUG